GGGCGUGUGCUAUACAUGCAGUCGAGCGGACAGAAGGGAGCUUGCUCCCGGAUGUUAGCGGCGGACGGGUGAGUAACACGUGGGUAACCUGCCUGUAAGACUGGGAUAACUCCGGGAAACCGGAGCUAAUACCGGAUAGUUCCUUGAACCGCAUGGUUCAAGGAUGAAAGACGGUUUCGGCUGUCACUUACAGAUGGACCCGCGGCGCAUUAGCUAGUUGGUGAGGUAACGGCUCACCAAGGCGACGAUGCGUAGCCGACCUGAGAGGGUGAUCGGCCACACUGGGACUGAGACACGGCCCAGACUCCUACGGGAGGCAGCAGUAGGGAAUCUUCCGCAAUGGACGAAAGUCUGACGGAGCAACGCCGCGUGAGUGAUGAAGGUUUUCGGAUCGUAAAGCUCUGUUGUUAGGGAAGAACAAGUGCAAGAGUAACUGCUUGCACCUUGACGGUACCUAACCAGAAAGCCACGGCUAACUACGUGCCAGCAGCCGCGGUAAUACGUAGGUGGCAAGCGUUGUCCGGGAAUUAUUGGGCGUAAAGGGCUCGCAGGCGGUUUCUUAAGUCUGAUGUGAAAGCCCCCGGCUCAACCGGGGAGGGUCAUUGGAAACUGGGAAACUUGAGUGCAGAAGAGGAGAGUGGAAUUCCACGU
rnacentral:rRNA from 2 species